rnacentral:lncRNA from 1 species
UGGGCACCCCCAGUCUUUCUAUCCUCCUCAUUCGUCUAGGGGCACCCGAAUCCCCUAUGCCUUAUUUCCCCUAUCACUCAGGCACUGGCAGGGUCCUUUGCCCACUCCUGUUGGCCGCCGCGGCUCCAAAGCGAGAUGUGCCUGAGACAGGUUUGACCCGCCAACUGAAAAGACAUCCCUAAGAGAAGACAAAGCAAAGGUAUGAAAGGAACACACGUCCCUGACUUACUAGGAGGAACAGAGCUGCCUGCUGUCUGGAACCGCUUCCUCCCAGACUAAGUGAGAAAUAAACUUCUGUUUUCUAUAUGC